GGGGAAUAUUGCACAAUGGGCGAAAGCCUGAUGCAGCAACGCCGCGUGAGUGAAGAAGGUUUUCGGAUUGUAAACUUCUUUAGUCAGGGACGAAAAAAAUGACGGUACCUGAAGAAUAAGCCACGGCUAACUACGUGCCAGCAGCCGCGGUAAUACGUAGGUGGCAAGCGUUGUCCGGAAUUACUGGGUGUAAAGGGCGUGUAGGCGGGAAUGUAAGUCAGAUGUGAAAUCCCAGGGCUUAACCCUGGAGCUGCAUCUGAAACUAUGUUUCUUGAGUGCCGGAGAGGAAAGCGGAAUUCCUAGUGUAGCGGUGAAAUGCGUAGAUAUUAGGAGGAACACCAGUGGCGAAGGCGGCUUUCUGGACGGUAACUGACGCUGAGGCGCGAAAGCGUGGGUAGCAAAC
rnacentral:rRNA from 1 species